rnacentral:rRNA from 1 species
AUUGAACGCUGGCGGCAGGCUUAACACAUGCAAGUCGAGCGAGCGGCGGACGGGUGAGUAAUGUCUGGGAAACUGCCUGUUGGAGGGGGAUAACUACUGGAAACGGUAGCUAAAACCGCAUACCAUCAGAUGUGCCCAGAUGGGAUUAGCUUGUGGGGGGGGUAAUGGCUCACAUAGGCGACGGUCCCUAGCUGGUCUGAGAGGAUGACCGGCCACACUGGAACUGAGACACGGUCCAGACUCCUACGGGAGGCGGCAGUGGGGAAUAUUGCCCAAUGGGCGCAAGCCGGAUGCAGCCAUGCCGCGUGGGUGAAGAAGGCCUUCGGGUUUUAAAGCACGUUCAGCGAGGAGGCGUUACUCGCAGAAGAAGCACCGGCUAACUCCGUGCCAGCAGCCGCGGUAAUUC